AACGAACGCUGGCGGCAUGCCUAACACAUGCAAGUCGAACGAGACCUUCGGGUCUAGUGGCGCACGGGUGCGUAACGCGUGGGAACCUGCCCUUAGGUUCGGAAUAACUCCCCGAAAGGGGUGCUAAUACCGGAUAAUGUCUUCGGACCAAAGAUUUAUCGCCUUUGGAUGGGCCCGCGUUGGAUUAGCUAGUUGGUAGGGUAAAAGCCUACCAAGGCGACGAUCCAUAGCUGGUCUGAGAGGAUGAUCAGCCACACUGGGACUGAGACACGGCCCAGACUCCUACGGGAGGCAGCAGUGGGGAAUAUUGGACAAUGGGCGAAAGCCUGAUCCAGCAAUGCCGCGUGAGUGAUGAAGGCCUUAGGGUUGUAAAGCUCUUUUACCCGGGAUGAUAAGGACAGUACCGGGAGAAUAAGCCCCGGCUAACUCCGU
rnacentral:rRNA from 1 species